rnacentral:tRNA from 1 species
GGGGCUGGGGCUCAGUGGUGGAGCGCUCGCCUAACAUGUGUGAGGCAUGGGUUCGGCCCUCAGCACCA